UGGUGGUGAGGCAGGCCCUCCCAUCGAAGGCUGGGCUAUUUUACACUGCAUAAAGUUUCCACAUCCACCCAGAAACGGCAGUUUUGUCACUCCACCGCUCACCUGCCUAUGUUUAUGUAAUUUGCAUAAUGUCCCUUCUGUCUUUCCGUGGCCAGCAGUGGGCUCUCAGGGUCAGAUCAGGAAGAGUUUUACUUACAAGUUCAGAAGUUUGGACAGUGAGUAGCUGUUGAGGGAUUUGGGGGCGGGGGGGUGGGUGGGGAACAUGGUCGGAUUCAGGUGUCUGGCUGCGAAAGUCGCGGGUGUCUACCAGGCACACGGUCGAUGAGCCUGGGGGUUGUGCAGAGGACUCUGGGGUGAGGAGGCUUCUGUGGCUGUCCCUUUGCUCCAACGGUGCAUAUGCAGGAACACAAGCUUCCUCUCACAUCCUCUCAAGAUGGUACCUUGUGCGCCCACCCCCCACAGUCCUGUGCACGUGCCCUCCUACUGAGGGUCAGAGAGGUUAAGUAAGGUGUGCAAGGCCUUACAACUGCUAAAGUAGAAUUUAAAACUGAGAUUUUUUUUGUUCCAAAAGCUCUUGCUCUUACAACUGCACUCACCUGCUUCCAAGGCAAUGUAAACAGGGUAAAGCCAGACUUCCUAGGUUCCUACACAAUAAAACCCACAUGGGAAAUUCAGAAGCCUUAACCUUCUAUGCCAAAGAUGGAUGGCUAAAAAUGAAUCAAAGCUCCUUGUAUCAGACAGGACCAGUUCAGCUCACAAUGACAGAAGCACAACCCAAACUGGCUUUAGCUAAGAAGUUCGAGACCUCACGCAAUGGAAAGCUCUGAUUUUGAGCCUGGUGGGGGGUCCCAAGGCCUUAGUCACUUUCGUGCCAUCUCAGCUUUGCUUCUCUCGUAUGGUUUCACCCGAAGGUAAAAUUGGCCCUGCUGACAAGGACAGAGAGUUGCAGCUCCAGCUUACAUCUAACUUGCUUCACCACUGUAGCUGGAAAAACACUUUUCACCUUGGAUUCUGACAAAGUCUUGGCCAGGGACUUCACCGUGCCAGUCUCUAGAGAGUGGCUGAGGUCAGCCCCACCCAAUCACAUGGUCUAAAGCUGGAGAGGAGCAUACAUACCCCACCCCACCCAAGAGGAAAUGAGAUGCUGGAUAGUAGGCAGGGGCAAAAUAGGUUUCUUGAGCCCACAGAACAUUCUAAUCCUUUCUAUUUGACUCAGUAAGACCAGACGGGCUUCAUUCUUUCCUACAAAUUUCUAGGCCUCUCCAAUGACUGUGAUAACCUGAGUCCCUUCUUAAAGAGAACUGCCCGCAAAAAGUGUCUGAAGUCCUCUUUUCGGUUUCAUGUACUUUAACAUAAAAAACAAAUGGCAGAAAGUCCAAAGGGCAGUGGAGUCAUUGAUGUCAUGGGAAGUAUUAAAUACUCUACUUAAAUAGUUGGAAAAUAAUAAGAAUGUAAUAAACAUGAAAGAUGAGAUGAUGGUUUUGUUUAAUAAAGAACUGAGCCAAAGAAAAUGAGCAAAGUUGGAGGAUGGAAAGGAAAGGAAAAUUAUUUUGAAAAUUGAGAUGUCAGAAGAGAUAGUCCAUGAUGGAUGUUUCAAGAAAGCAGAAAUCCAUCAAUUUAAUCAAGAUUUCUAUGUUAAAACUGCUGAGCUAUCACUAUGCUAUUUUUUUCCAACAUGACAGGUGACAAAAUAAGCCAAGAAAGGAAGAAAAAGAUUUUGUUCCACUAACGGGUCCCUCCAUCACCAUGACAAUAUCACAAGUGGAAAAUGGGGAUGUUGAUAACAUCAUAAUCUAAAUAUUUUUCCCCUCUACCUUCAGUAUUUGUCAGUGUUAAGGAUGAUAACAACACAUUUUCUUUAUGUACUUUAUUCCACGUGGAUCAUUCUUAAAGUUGCUGGAAACUAUAGAUGUUAUUCUGUGUAGGAGUUGAUCUAAAGAUAAUAAAUUACUCAGAAAAUUUUUUAAAUGGUAUGAGAGAAAAAUAAAGAGAGGAAAAUACUGUUUUUCCAUAAUUGAGUCAAUAGCACUUUGGUAUGUAACUAUCAUUUGGGUGUAACUGUCUCUAUCCAAUGACAAAUGAGAAGUGUCUUGUGUGGGUUCUGAUUGUCUUCUGCUGUCUGCCAGAGAAAACAGGCAUUGAACACUUCAGGUUAGAUAUCAUCUUAAGGUCUGGUGGUUUAAACUUUUUCUUAGAACAAAGAUAAAUGGUCCUAUUAACUGAAUCACGAUUCUCAUCAUUAUCAUUGGAAUUAUCAAAACAAUCAGUGUUUAUUAAGGAUUGCUGUGUGCCAGGCACCAUGAUAAAUGUCUUCUGUCCCAUUUUAUUAUGUGAAAAAUUAAGCCUCAGACUGCUCAGAUUACCCGCUUAUGGGGAUAAAUCUAGGCAGCUGAAGAACCUGGCUUUACCCAUUGGCCUUGUCAUCCUGGUGGGCACCUCACAUUAAGGUAGGCAAAUCAUAGAUUCAGUGCAUCCUGGGGCCAAUUAGCUUUACAAUGUUCUAAGGCUUGUCCUUUGCCAGUGAAGCAAUUACUCAGGGAACUGAGCAAAAGUGUGUUCUUCAUACAUGAAAAGUCCAGCUCAUGAUAUGUACAUAGAAUAAUCAGCAUCACCUUCCUUAAAAGUGAAGCUUAGCAUAGGCUUAUUUUAUAUUCACUUAACUAUAUUGCCUGGGAAUUUAAUUUAUAGACUGUCCACUAUGUGUAAGAGACAGAGCCCAUGACCUUAGGCAGGACCAUUAUGAGUUAAGAUGUGGCCAUGGUUUCAGAGAGCUAACAAUAUGGAGCUGGGCAGGAAAGGCAGGAGAAGUUCAUAUGAGCACUCCGAGUGUAAAACAAACUCUUCUUAGAAGAACACUGCAAAAGUACUAUCGACCAAGUGUUACAGGAGUUCAAGGACAGAGGAAUCCCAUCCACUUGUAGAAAGACUUCACAAAGGAUAAACCAUUUGAUAUGAUCCUUGUAGAUUUGACAGGAUUUCAGCAAGGGUGGAGGAGAGAAGAGGGAGCAUGAGAUAGAACAGCAAAAGAAAAGGCAAGUCAUUCAUGGGUGUGGUCAGGCACACAACUUCACAUGAUGAGUGGAGUAUCCCAGUCUGAUUGGAGAUACCUGUGUGGAGAGGGGAGCAGUGAGAGGCAAGGCUAGAAACAUAGGUUGCAGGUCCUGGUUCAUUUGGCCAGGCCAUGGGAAAGACUUGCUGACACUGAGCAGGGAGUGAUUAGACUAGAAUUUUUUUUUUUUUAAAUUCAUUUGGAAUGGAAGCAACCAGGUUGUUAUGACAACAACCAACAAAGCAUUUAGGCCAGUGCUUCUCUAAAAGUGUCUAAGAAUCACCUGGGGAACUUGCGAAAAUGCAAAUCUGGACUCAGCAGUUGUGAGCUGGAACCUGAGGUCCUGCAUUGUAAGAAACUCCCCUGUAAGGCUGAUGAUGGUGACUUUUAAACCAAAACUUAAAAACAUAAGUCUAUAUAAAAUCAUUCAUAGGACAUUCUCAGUCAUUUUACCAUCAUUUGUUAUUCCUGGUCAAUUCUCUGCCCAAAUACUUUUUCACUGUUUUAAAUUUUCAACCACAAUUCUGAAAUUUCCACCUGCAUAUCCUCCUGUUCCAUUUUUUUAACUCUUUAAAUACAAUCUUGAAAACAAGGAAGAAGCAAGCAGAUUAAAUGAGGUCAUUUGCGCAAUUUGUGGUUUCAGCUGCAGGUUUUUGUUAUCUUAAAGGGAAGCAGAAAACAUGUGGAUGUAUAAAUAGAGGUGUAGAACACAAGUUCACAGAAAUUUAUUCUCUCUCUCACUGUAUAAGGAUGAGCUCACAUUUAGAAGGCAGGGCUCCAAGCUGGUCGCCGUAGGGAGAGGUGGGCUAUUGGUGACACCGAGGGCAACUUGAGCAAUUUAGGUCUUUCUGGCACUUAAUGUGGACCAGAUGCUGGGGGCAUUGGCCUCUGCAGCAAAUUAACUGAAGGCACUUCAUAGCAACCUAAAUCUUAACAGCUGAAAUAGGAAACACAGCAGAGGACUUGAAACUAGGUCAAGGAGGAAACUCUGGUAAACCUCCUGAAAUGGCUGACUUUUCAAACAUUUUAACUCCUCCUGUCAUUCAUUUUUGAAAGGAAAUCAUGUUUUCCCCAGUGGUAUCCUUCCUGCCCCCAAACAAGACAUGUAAGCCAUCAGGCAUGGAGAAAUAGAAAUGCUAUACCCAGGCCACCCAUGCACAACCAGCUCAGCACCACCCAACCUUCUGUCUUUGCCUCUCCCGUGUGGAGCUGCCUCCUGGCCACAUAGUGCAAGGAAGGUGUGAGCCAAUCAACCCAAGAUGAGAAACACCUGUAAGGUGUUACAGCUUAAUCCACAGUUUGAGAUCAUUGUAAUUUAAUAUAUUUUAGAUGGAUUGUUUGGCUGAUCUGACAGAACAGAGGCUGGCAGUGUCCAUACAUAAACUCCAGUCUCUUGUGCAAUGUCCAUUCACAUGCCAAGGAAGGGCUUAGCUAAAUGUAACCGGCAAUCGAAAGCAAGAUUAGAGGAGGUUUCACUGACACUUUCUAAAAUCCCAUUGGCAUUCUCUUACCUGUAAUGGUAUUCCAUUGUGAGUAAAGAAAGAUCUUGCCUUGCCUAGCCCACCUGACUGUUUCCUUCCAGGGAAUAUCAUAAAGUAAAUGAGCAAUCAUUCUUAUGUCAGAUUAAAAUAUGUGGGACAAGACAUUGUUGAAGCCAUGGGUAUUUUCAUUGAAAAGAGGGUUCAUAGAGCUCCCAUAGUGGCACAGAGGAAACGAAUCCAAUUAGGAACCAUGAGACUGUGGGUUCGAUUUUUGGCCUCACUCAGGGGGUUAAGGAUCCAGCAUUGCCUUGAGCUGUGGUGUAAGUCGUAGAUGUGGCUCAGAUCUGGUGUUGCUAUGGUGUAGGCCAGCAGCUGUAGCUCCAAUUAGACCCCUAGCCUGGGAAUCUCCA
rnacentral:lncRNA from 1 species